AGCGCCCCCGCCCCUGGUCCAGAGGCGAGCAGAGAUUGGCAGAAGGCCCCUCACACACCCCAGAACCCCGAGUCUCUAACUCUUGGAAAGGAAGCAACACAGAUGCAGGCUUGGGGGUCUCGGGGAGGAGCUCUCAAAGAGGACUUGAGACGCUGAAUGGUCCUGCCCGAGGGCUAAUCUCAGUGCCUCAUUCUGCAACGCAAACUCAAGUCUCCGUGCUCUCUCCUUAGGGAGAAAAUCAGACCAAGCUUGGCCUAGCGGAUCCACUCUCCUCACUGCCUGCCACUGUGAUCAACCUAAGAUCUGUGUGUAGUGAGUGCCUCUGAGCCAGGCGCGCCUCGGAACACAGUGGGUGCCAGAGCAAACCCAGAUCUCCUCAUGCUCCGUUCUCAUGAAGUUUAUAUCCUAGUGGAAAAGGAGAUGCGGAACAAAUGUAUGAAAUAAUGGAGGUGGUAAGUGCUG